GCUACUUGGGGUUUGGCCCUCUGCCUGGUAUGACUUUAUCCUUUAACUGUCUCUUUUGUUGGCCACCCCCCAGGGAGCCCAGUCUCCUCCUUGAAACCCUGCGCUGGAAUGAGAGGUCUCCACAAGGGUUCCGGAACCCACACUCCAUGCUGUGGUUUUGCCUGAGAACUGGCUGUAAGACAGCAUGGCUACAGGAUGAUUUAUGUCCUUCUCCUGGGACCUGGACUCCAGGCUCUGCCUUAGACCAUCGGAACGCUCUGCUCCCACAGCUGAUGAUGGAGACAGACACAGUUGCUCAGCAUCUUAACAGGAUAUGAAACAGUGGGCUUUCCCCAAGAACUCCAAGGCUGAGCUGUAGCCUAGCAUUGAAUAGCAGAGAUGCUGAGAUCAGACUGAACCAGAUGUACUUCUUUCCUUUACAGCUGCUAGUUCUGGACCUUGGAGUAUACAGGUGGAGGGUCCCGUGUGGACAGCCACCCUCAGCGCAGAGCUGCCUAGCCGAACACAGGGAACUACAAUCUCAUGAGCGAGACCAGCAGAAACCAGAGGAGCCGCCCAGCUAUGCCUGCCGUAAAUUGCUGACUUGCAGAAUUGUGAGCUGAAUAAAUGGUUGUCACUUUAAGCCACAAAGCUUUGGAGCAGUUUGUCAUGUAGCAGCAGAUAACUGACAUGCCUUUACUAAAAACGAGACCAUGUGCCAACUUUGUGGCACUCUGUGGGGACAUGGAGAUGAUUAAGUCAGAGUCCCCGUU